UACGGGGGGGGUAAGCGUUGUUCGGAAUUACUGGGCGUAAAGGGCUCGUAGGCGGCCAACUAAGUCAUACGUGAAAUCCCUCAGCUUAACUGGGGAACUGCGUGUGAUACUGGAUGGCUUGGAUUUGGGAGAGGGAUGCGGAAUUCCAGGUGUAGCGGUGAAAUGCGUAGAUAUCUGGAGGAACACCGGUGGUGAAGGCGGCAUCCUGGACCAAUAUUGACGCUGAGGAGCGAAAGCUAGGGGAGCAAACGGG
rnacentral:rRNA from 1 species